rnacentral:rRNA from 1 species
AGCAGCCGCGGUAAUUCCAGCUCCAAUAGCGUAUAUUAAAGUUGUUGCAGUUAAAAAGCUCGUAGUUGAAUUUCAGGCCUGGCUGAACGGUCCGCCCUUCGGGUGAGUACUGUCUGUGGUCGGGUCCUACCUUCUGGCGAAGCGUCAUGGCCUUAACCGGCCGUGGCGGGGAACCAGGACUUUUACUGUGAAAAAUUAGAGUGUUCAAAGCAGGCAAUCGCUUGGAUACAUUAGCAUGGAAUAAUGGAAUAGGACAAUGGUUCUAUUUGUUGGUUUCUAGGACCGUUGUAAUGAUUAAUAGGGAUAGUUGGGGGCAUUAGUAUUCAAUUGUCAGAGGUGAAAUUCUUGGAUUUAUUGAAGACUAACUACUGCGAAAGCAUUUGCCAAGGAUGUUUUCAUUAAUCAAGAACGAAAGUUAGGGGAUCGAAGACGAUCAGAUACCGUCGUAGUCUUAACCA